rnacentral:lncRNA from 1 species
AUCUGGAGGAGGAAGAGACCUCAUCAGACAAAAGGCAAAGAAACCAUUAGAUACCUACGAAUUGAGGAAGAAGUAAGCGACUAGUUGGAAUAGCAUGUUCUUGCUCUCAAGGGAAUUGCAGGUGAGAGAUCAUUAAGAAUGGAAAUGAAGGACUCGAAGUUGGCGGAGUCACACCAGGGAGCUUAGGUCCCAGAGUCACUGCCUGGAGGAAAGCUGUGCAGGGCAGGGCCCACAGCACACUUUGCAUGGGCCGUUGAGUUCAGCUUAUGGUGAUGGAAAGAGAGAUGUCAAUAAUUCCACAUUUUCUGGCUUGCAUUGUUUGAUGAAAGGUGACCCCAUUCCCUGAGUUAAAGAAUGCUGAAAGAAGACCAGGCUUGAGGAGGAAGGAUCAUGCAUUUGCUUUUGGACCUGUAGAGUUUGAGGACAUGUUCAGCACCAGGAGGAAUUUGCAUCCAAGUCCGUCUCCCUGCUAAGUGGUAUUUUGAGAAUUCCGAAGCUUAGUCUCAGAGAAGAGCUGACCUGAACUUGCCGAGGCUCCCACUGCAUUGUAGCUUUUCUCUGGAGAACAAAAACUGCCAUUGUCCAGCAGCUCAUUAGCAUGACUGUACAGCCUCCGGAGUUAGCAAGGUGAUGCAAAAAUAAUAUGACAAGAUCCAUGUCUUCAAUGAGCUACAAUCCUACUGGGACAUGAGACUGUGCUUAUAAUAUGAUGAAAGAAUAAGAAAAUUUUAAAGGCUAUAACAGGCAGAGCACAAGAACAAGCAGAGCUAUAACAAGCAGAGCACAAGAAGGAAGAGUGCAGAUCCAGGACUGGGACACUUAACCAAUAAUAAUACAAAUAAUGAAAACACAGCAGCAACAGGUGCCAUUUUGGAAGCAAGAAGCAGAGAACAAGCUCUCACUGGGCAUUAAAUCUGCCGGCAUCUUGAUCUUGAACUUCUCAACCUCCAGAACUCUGAGAAAUAAAUUUCUAUUAUUUACAAAUUACCCAGUCUAAGGUGUUUUGUUAUAGCAGCUCAAACAAAUUAAGAUAUCUGUUUAUUGCUUUUGGUAUGUGUUUGUGUUUUAAUUUUCUUGGAAGGUAGAGCAGAGAGACAAAAAUCACCAAAUUUUGGUGACAUGGUUGAAGCUCUGGGUCAAACCAAUCUUUGAGUCCAGCCUCUGAACCUCGCAUUAAAGUCCUUUAUAGUUUAGAUUGGUUAGGAUUAGGUCUCUUGAUGUUUGUUUUCACCUUGAGGGUUCCUAACUGCUACGGGGAGUCAGUGUGAUUUAACUCUAAGUGAAGAAGAACAGUUUAGAGGGAUGAUCCUGCACAUCUGCAUGGUGAUUGAAUUUAUGUCUCCUAUAAUUGUAUAUACAAAAUGAAAGUUUGGACUCUACAGGACAGGAGACUUUCCCCAACUUCUACCCUCCUUUAUCUUUUGCUGAUUAGUAUUGCAACAGGCACCUAACCAAACUCUCUGGCUCUGGGCCUGUGCUGUGUCUUCUAAUCUUCACACAGCUGCCAGCAUUAUCUUUAAAAGACAGAUCUUAUUAUUUUACACACAAAACAGACACACAUCUCCAUGCAGCAUCUGCUUAAAGUGUUUCUGUGGUUCCUGAUUGCUGACUGGAUUUCACUCAACUUUUUAGCAUGGCCCACAUGGAGCUACCUCUGCCCCACCUUUUCAGUUUCAACUCUUAGGACCCUCUCCUACAAACAUUGGGGUUCACUGUACCCUGAACAUGUGAUAGUCUUGCGUGUCUCCAAGCCUUUGCAUCUGCUAUUCCCCAUGCAUGCAAGGUCUUGCUCUUACUUUCUGUACAGGAGAACUCCUCUUCACCUUUGAAAACCCUCAACUCAAAUACCAAUUGGUUAAGACAUAUUUCUUGAUGUCCCCUGACAGAACCACUAGGAUGUGUAUGACUUAUUAUAGGAAUUUGACAUUUCACAACUGUGGGCGCUAGUUAGUUGGUAAACAGCCUUUGGGAGGUUGUUGUGUUUAUCUUGAAGGCAGGAAGUUGAAAAGGGAAAAUGGAAAAGAAGAACAAAUUGGGACCUGAAUGGUGCCUAUGAGGAUGAACUGGAACCCGUGUUGGUCUGGAACCUUGGUUGGAAAUCCAAGCUUUCAACUUUAAUGAUGCGGAUGUUCUGCAAGAGAAGCUGGUGCACUUUUUCAUGCUUGAUAUGCACCUGGCCCAGGAGUCAGAGAAGCUGAAAAACGAUCCAGCAGGAGCUGGAGUCUGUGUGGGCCUUGUUGUUGCACCACCGUCCGCCUCCAGGCAAGACAACUG